rnacentral:rRNA from 1 species
AUACGUAGGGUCCGAGCGUUGUCCGGAUUUAUUGGGCGUAAAGAGCUCGUAGGUGGCUUCGUAAGUCGGGUGUGAAAACCCCAGGCUCAACCUGGGGACGCCACUCGAUACUGCGGUGGCUUGAGUCUGGUAGGGGAUCACGGAAUUCCUGGUGUAGCGGUGAAAUGCGCAGAUAUCAGGAGGAACACCAGUGGCGAAGGCGGUGAUCUGGGCCAGUACUGACACUGAGGAGCGAAAGCGUGGGGAGCGAACAGGAUUAGAUACCCGGGUAGUCCACGCCGUAAACGUUGGGCACUAGGUGUGGGGACCUAUCGACGGUUUCCGUGCCGCAGCUAACGCAUUAAGUGCCCCGCCUGGGGAGUACGGCCGCAAGGCUAAA